UGAAACUGUUGUUGGGACUCACACAGGCGGCUCUAUUUCAAUUGGAGAACAUCGCAGGAAACUUGCUAUUGAAAAAGGUCGAGAUCCAACACCAAUUGAAUUACAUUUGCAUGUUCAUACACAUGGUCAUGAUGGAAAAUCAUUUGUUGGUGAGCGUUCUCGAAUUGUCCAUG